AGCGAACGCUGGCGGCAGGCUUAACACAUGCAAGUCGAGCGGGCACUUCGGUGUCAGCGGCAGACGGGUGAGUAACACGUGGGAACGUACCCUUUGGUUCGGAAUAACGCUGGGAAACUAGCGCUAAUACCGGAUACGCCCUUUUGGGGAAAGGCUUGCUGCCGAAGGAUCGGCCCGCGUCUGAUUAGCUAGUUGGUGGGGUAAUGGCCUACCAAGGCGACGAUCAGUAGCUGGUCUGGGAGGAUGAUCAGCCACACUGGGACUGAGACACGGCCCAGACUCCUACGGGAGGCAGCAGUGGGGAAUAUUGGACAAUGGGCGCAAGCCUGAUCCAGCCAUGCCGCGUGAGUGAUGAAGGCCUUAGGGUUGUAAAGCUCUUUUGUCCGGGACGAUAAUGACGGUACCGGAAGAAUAAGCCCCGGCUAACUUCGUG
rnacentral:rRNA from 1 species